CGCACGGUACCAUAGAUAUUGUGGCAAGUCUACACCGGAAAAUAAUUGUUCGCUCCCUCAGGAUCUGCGGCGAUAUGGGUACGACGCAGAUAGCCUCUGUGGUUGGGCGACAUAAAGAAACGAGCCGCUAGUAAUAAAAAAAACUCGUCUACAUCCGAGUUUCUUCGAUCGAGGCAAAUGUCACUACCCUCAAGCUGGCCAACGGCAAGCCUAGACGAAAAGCAAGGUGCUAAAGAACUCCUGCGUAUAUAGACAAUGGCGAUAAUAACAGUGUGCUGUUCUCGAUUCUUCGCUGCGCCUUCUCGUUUCGACCGAUAGCGUUCCAGGCGGCGGCGGUGAUGUGGUUUUUCAGUAUACAACGUUCGUGUGACUCGCAACGUAAAUUCGGUCCAGGCCAGCUUUUUGCUUGUCCGAUUGUCAGUUUUACGUUAUAGGUACAGGCACCACCUAUAAGUCUAUGCACCUUACGUUUAGAAAUUAAGGGAGCCUAGUUAUUGAAUGAGACUCGACUAAUACUUUCUAGUUAAAUUGGGCACUGUUUCUGUAAAUCUGGCCGAAAAAAGUGGCAGAAAAUAAAGAAAACGAGCGAUUUAUGCACAGGGACGUUUACGUUUGACAUGUUAAAAUAAACAUCAAAUAUUUUGCGUUUGUUUUUUUUGUCAUUGUCGCAUAUCGGCAGUCUAUGUUUGUUGGCUACAAUGGUGUGAAAUCAGAAACAAACUUUUAGCGUGAGAGGAUUAUAACCCUUUUAGCGUUGCACUAUGGCCUAGGCCAAGUAUGAAGCCAGAAUCUGGCUAUGUGCAUAUAUUGAUUUGCCUCCGGCACGUUUCGCCGCCCGAGGAGCAUUUAAGGGACACCUCACAGGCAAUCGGUUAUAAGGUUGACUUGACCAAGGCACCUUUUCAACAAUUAAUCUUACUAGUAAAGAUUUUUUUUCGGAAUUUUGAACGUUCUCCCCUUUUUCGUUUCCGUCUAUUACAAACUUUGCUCGUAUACGUGUUUGGCUGUCUGUCCCGCUGAUAAACAUUGAACACUAAUAAUGUCAUAUAACCUAGGACUUAAAAUUAGAUAAGGUCAAAUUGAGUGGUAACAACGAAAGCGGCGCCUGCUCAUGGCGAGUCAAACGAGCUAAUGUUUGUGCGUCUACGUGUGUUUACAACAAAGAGUCAUUCUUAGGUUUGAAAGCCACUGAAAAGGUAAUAAAAAAAAAAGGACGAACAACUACUUCCGAUCUAAAACUACGGUCGAAAGUAGCAGCAAAAAAGAACGGAAAUUUCUUAGCGAAAGCGGUGGUCACAGCACUGACUGAAGAGAAGGCAGCAUCACAUGAUCUUAAGCAGCCCCUGCGGACUGACUGCCAAUACGUAGCCUUCAGCCACUAUGGUAUCUGCGAACGUGACGAUCGCUGUUCAUGUAACGUAUGCGGUUGACUAUGAGAAAGCAAAAGAGCAUAAAAAAUUCAGCAAGGACUACCGAUUGACUGGUCGUUGGAAAGCAAAGUACGGCAUAACACUGGUAAAAUGAACUGAACGGAUGAUUGAGACCGCACAGGUCACAAAGAACUGUAUUUCGAAGAAAAAUGUCUACUCAUUCACAGCCAGCAACCAGACUGGGACUGUGAAUCGAGACCCCAGACAAAACAAGAUCUCUGUAGUGCAAUUAAGCUAGUGAAAACGCGUGACGAUUUUUGCGACAAACCCGACAAUCUGUCAUUUCGAUGAUACGACGCGUUAACCCGCGCCUGGGAUUUGCGAUUCUGCCCUUUGUUGUGAGAUGCGGUAAAGCGAGGCGAAAGCCUUUGCGCUGCCGUACUGACCACGAAGAAACGGAAAAUUUUAUAGCGGUUUUAAGGAUCCCUUUAGCUAACUACAUGUAAUGAGAACAGUAUGUGAAGACUUCAAUGUGAUGAGCGGCGAUGUGUCUCACGAAAGCAACCCUUAUAAAAAACAUGUUUUCCGUUGCUUAUAUACUCAGAACUCAACCGUUACGUGUUCCGUGCUUAUCGCGGAAGGGAAUCCUGGUUGUCACGUAUUCGAACUAAAGA
rnacentral:lncRNA from 1 species